AGCGUAAUAGCUCACUGAUCGAGUCGUCCUGCGCGGAAGAUGUAACGGGGCUAAGCCAGUUACCGAAGCUGCGGAUGCACAGUUUACUGUGCGUGGUAGGAGAGCGUUCUGUAAGCCUGUGAAGGUGUCUGGUAACGGAUGCUGGAGGUAUCAGAAGUGCGAAUGCUGACAUGAGUAGCGUUAAAGGGGGUGAAAAGCCCCCUCGCCGUAAGCGCAAGGUUUUCUACGCAACGUUCAUCGGCGUAGAGUGAGUCGGCCCCUAAGGCGAGGCAGAGAUGCGUAGCUGAUGGGAAACAGGUCAAUAUUCCUGUACCGAUCAAUAGUGCGAUGUGGGGACGGAGAAGGUUAGCUCAGCCAACUGUUGGAUAUGUUGGUUCAAGCCUGUAGUCGUGCCUGGUAGGCAAAUCCGCCGGGCUUAGAUGAGGGGUGAUAACGAGUCUGCUUGCAGACGAAGUGAGUGAUACCCUGCUUCCAGGAAAAGCCACUAAGCUUCAGCUAUUGACGACCGUACCGCAAACCGACACUGGUGCGCGAGAUGAGUAUUCUAAGGCGCUUGAGAGAACUCAGGAGAAGGAACUCGGCAAAUUGAUACCGUAACUUCGGGAGAAGGUAUGCCCCAAGUAGGUGAACUCGUACAGAGGGAGCCCAAAGGGGUUGCAAAAAAUCGGUGGCUGCGACUGUUUAAUAAAAACACAGCACUCUGCAAACACGAAAGUGGACGUAUAGGGUGUGACGCCUGCCCGGUGCUGGAAGAUUAAAUGAUGGGGUGCAAGCUCUUGAUUGAAGUCCCAGUAAACGGCGGCCGUAACUAUAACGGUCCUAAGGUAGCGAAAUUCCUUGUCGGGUAAGUUCCGACCUGCACGAAUGGCGUAACGAUGGCCACACUGUCUCCUCCUGAGACUCAGCGAAGUUGAAAUGUUUGUGAAGAUGCAAUCUCCCCGCGGCAAGACGGAAAGACCCCAUGAACCUUUACUGCAGCUUUGCAUUGGACUUUGAACCGGUUUGUGUAGGAUAGGUGGGAGACUGUGAAACCGGGACGCUAGUCUCGGUGGAGUCGUCCUUGAAAUACCACCCUGAUUUGUUUGAGGUUCUAACCUAGGCCAGUGAAUCCUGGCCGGGGACCGUGCAUGGUAGGCAGUUUGACUGGGGCGGUCUCCUCCCAAAAGGUAACGGAGGAGUACGAAGGUACGCUUAGGGCGGUCGGACAUCGCCCAUAAAGUGCAAUGGCAAAAGCGUGCUUGACUGCGAGACCCACAAGUCGAGCAGGUGCGAAAGCAGGUCAUAGUGAUCCGGUGGUUCUGUAUGGAAGGGCCAUCGCUCAACGGAUAAAAGGUACUCUGGGGAUAACAGGCUGAUACCGCCCAAGAGUUCAUAUCGACGGCGGUGUUUGGCACCUCGAUGUCGGCU
rnacentral:rRNA from 1 species